UGCGCAGGUGGGGGUGUAAGUCAGUGGUGAAAUGUUGCCGCUCAACGGUAAAAUUGCCAUUGAUACUGCAUCUCUUGAGUAUGGUUGAGGUAGGCGGAAUGUGUUGUGUAGCGGUGAAAUGUAUAGAUAUGACACAGAACACCGAUUGCGAAGGCAGCUUACUAAGCCAUUACUGACGCUGAGGCACGAAAGCGUGGGGAGCGAACAGGAUUAGAUACCCUGGUAGUCC
rnacentral:rRNA from 1 species